GGGACUUGUUAGGGGGAACAGGCAGGAAUUUCACUGUUAAAUAAUGCCCUGGGCAGGCAGUAGGCCUGGGAUGCUGGGCACCUCAGGUAACUGCCCAUCAUGGUGAACUGAAGUGCAGUGGUCCUGGUCAGCUCGCUGUCUGUGAUGGCCCUGAGGGGACUGUGGCUCAUCAGCUACGAGCAAGGGGCCUGUGGAGCCGUGAUGUUCUCCAGGCAUUACCCCACUGUUGAAAAACGAGCAAAAGCCUUCAACGGAGCAAGCUAUGUGACUGUACCAGAGGACAGUGUUUUUCUUAAAGCAUUGCUUUUUGAACUUAAGCUGACAGAUCCAGACAAGAACUUUGUGGAAUAUCGAGAUAGCUGUUCUCGAAUCAACAAGACUUCUGUGUAUGCGCUUCCAACAGGAGGAGGGGACCUCUGGCCUGUCCUUGCCUUUCAGAAGAGUGGUUUGAUAUAUGUUUGUCUUCCCCUAGUUGAGCAAUUCUUGAAGCCACGCCCACCCCUCAUUAGCAUUAGUGGAAUCUCACAAGCCUUCGCUCUCUUGUCAGGAUUGCUGGUCUUCAUUAACUCCAGUCAGAAGAAUGAAGCUGAGAUGAGUGCAAAAGUGGGCCAACUUCCAAGUUUGCUCAUGCAGGCCUGUCCAUAUGGCACCCCAUUAGAUACAGACUUGAAUGGCUUAUUAGAUAACAUUCAUGUUUCUACAAACCACACGCAGAAACAACCAAUUUGGAGAAUUAGCACAUACAAAGGCAAACCUCAGGUUAAUGUUUGUAUCACUGAAAAAGUCAAGUCUAUGCAAUAUGACAAAACGGAUGUUGCAGAUAUGUGGCAGGUUUAUGGAACUGUGACUUGUAAGUGUGAUUUAGAAGGAGCUACAUCAAAUGUGACUGUCAGCUUGAACCUCCCUGCCAAUGGCUCUCCACUCCAGGAUAUCCUGGUGCAUCCCUGUGUGACUUCUCUUGACUCUGCAAUUCUUACUUCCUGUAGCGUUGAUGUCAUGGAUGAUUCUGCAUUUAGCGGGCCAUAUAAACUUCCUUUCACUCCUCCUUCUGACUUAUUCAAUUUGUGCUACUAUACUUCCCAGGUGCCUGUACCACCAAUUUUGGGAUUUUACCAGCUGAAGGAAGAAGAAUUGCAAUUAAAAUUAACAGUUAAUUUAAAACUUCAUGAAAGUGUAAAAAAUGCUUUUGAGUACUGUGAAGCUCGUAUACCUUUCUUUAACAGGGGUCCAGUCGCUCAUUUGGAGUACAAAGUUAGUUAUGGCCAGCUAGAUGUAUCUCGAGAGAAAAGCUUAUUGGUUUGGGUCAUAGGACAAAAGUUUCCCAAAUCAUUAGAAAUUUCUCUUACUGGAACUGUGACUUUUCGUUCUAUGAGCAAAGAGCAACCAGUUGAUCCAAUUUGCACUGGGAGUACUGCAUAUGUAAAACUUUAUUUUAGGAUCCCAGACUACACACUUACUGGAUGUUAUGCAGAUCAGCAUUCUGUUCAGGUCUUUUCAACAGGAAAACCAAAAAUAAGUACAUCCCGGGAAUUGAUUUCCUCAGAUUAUUACAUCUGGAAUUCCAAAGCCCCAGCACCUGUAGUGUACAGAACAUUAUUUUUCUAAUUUCCCUGUGAAGAAUUUUUGCAUUUGAACAAAAAAGACCGCUAUCAGAAGUGAUGUUAAUAUAUUGUAAAGAAAAAAAAAAGUGUCCACGGUUCAAGAAAGAUGUUGAAAAAUUGGAGACGAUCUUGCAGAAGAUCUACAAGAAUGGUUACAGGAUUGGAAAACAUGCCUUUUAGUGAGAGAAUUAAGGGGCUCAAACUGUUAAAAGUAAAGGUUAGGUUAAGUGGUGACGAUCACAGUUUAUAAGUGAAUACAUGGGCAACAGAAAUUUGAUAAUCAGGCUCUUUAGUCUCAAAGACAAAGCUUCAACAAAAUCCAAUGGCUGGAAGUUGAAGCUAGACAAAUUCAAAUAAGGUGCAAAAUUUUAACAGGGUAAAUUUACUUUUGGAACAACUUACCGAGGGUUGUGGUGGAUUCUCUAUUGUUGGAAAGGUUUAAAAUCAAGAGUGGAUAUUCUUCUAAAAGCAUGCUCUAAUUCAAACGGGUAUUCAUUCAGGGAAUUCGUAUGACCUAUGUUACACAGGAGGUCCGCCUAGAUGAUCACAGUGAGCCCCUCUGGGCUUGGAAUCUGAAUUUCGACUUACUGUACAGUCUAGUCUCCCCAUGCGCUAUUGUUGUAAUCCUUUGGGAUGAAAUUCAGCAAGGGGCAGAGGGCACAUACAAGACUCCCUGUGCCCUAAAGCACCAUAAUGGCACUGCACAGUGGAGGAAAUAAUUGCAGCUCUGUGUUCCCUAAAUGAGCCUUUAGGAAGAGGCUAGUGCAUCCCUGCUUGUGAAGAUGCAGUUGUGGCAUUAUGCCCCAUAUUCUUCAUAGUAAUAUUAUUAUGAGUAUGACCUAAUUAUGAUGUGCAAGAUAAGGCAUGUGAGAUAUCAUUGGAAAGGUUAUGAUUUACGGAAUAUGAUUAUUCUACUUGUAUGCAUGUAGUAUUUGGAUAUCUGAAGUUAGGAAUACUGUCUAUGCAUCCAUUACAAAUGUGUUUACACCUGGGGAAUGCCCACUAGACAGAAUGCAUCAGUCUAGAUGGCUGGUUGGGAAGGGCCAUUAAGGAAAACAAUAGGACUUUGAAGAUGCCAAUCUCCCAGCGGGAAGCCUUCCUGAGGAUGUUACAAACAGUCUCUCUCAUGGCUGCUAUGGCCUUACAGAGGCAUGUGACCAAGUCACCUGGUACUGGACUCCAUCAGAAUACUAGUGUUUUUCCACUGACCAGGUGUGGGAAUCAAACCGGGGGACAAAGGGUUCCUGCCAUAUGCUAAAACUAUUUAAGGCAGGGGAGUGACAUCAUCAUGAGUCGUUCUUCACUGACUCCCCGCCCAAGAUUACUGCUGUAAACACCUAAGAAAAAAACACUAAAUUGGGGGAUGUGACAGGUUGGAUCACAGAAACCCCCUGAAAGCUGCCACCUGAUGUGCCAAGACUACUUCUGCCCCUGCUUUCCUGCCCUGUCAGCUUAGGACUUCAGUGCCCUGUCUGGUUUGAGCCUGCUGCAAACCCAGACCCAGGUCUGAACCACGUCCCUUAGCAGCUGUAGGCUUAACUGAAAGCAGCUUACAGAAGUGUUCCUGUCUUUAACACUCAGAUGUCCAACUCCCAAUGGGGUCCAAACCCUAAAUAAAUCCGUUUUACCCUGUAUAAAGCUUAUACAGGGUAAACUCAUAAAUGGUUUGCCCUCUAUAACACUGAUAGAGAGAUAUGCACAGCUGUCUCCGCCCUUCCCCCCCCUACAAGUAUUAAUACAUACUCUGGGUUAAUUAAUAAGUAAGAAGUUAUUUUAUUAAAUACAGAAAGUAGGAUUUAAGUGGUUCCAAGUAGUAACAGACCAAACAAAGUGAAUCACCAACCAAAAUAAAAUAAAACCUGCAAGUCUAUGUCUAAUAAAACUGAAUACAGACAAAACCUCACCUGUUCCAGUAAGCUUCCUUUUACAGACUGAUCUCCUUCUAGUCUGGGUCCAGCAAUCACUCACACCCCCUGUAGUUAUUGCCCUUUGUUCCAGUUUCUUUCGUAGGGGUGGAGAGGCUCUCUUUAGCCAGCUGAAGACAAAAUGGAGGGGUCGCCCACCGGCUUAAAUAGACUUUCUCUUGUGGGAGGAGACCCCCUCUUCUCUCGUAUGCAAAGUUCAGCUCCAAGAUGGAGUUCUGGAGUCACCUGGGCAAGUCACAUGUCCAUGCAUGACUCAUGGUUUUUACACACAGAAGCCAUUGCCCACAUGGUAUCUUGAAUGUCUCCAGGAAGACUUCUUAUGUGGAUUGGAGCAUUCCAAGAUACAUUGUUCCUUAAAUACUUCUUGAUUGGGCACUUAACUUUGCGAAUUCCUUUCUCCAGGACCUGACCAAAUGCUCAACUAAGGUUAUUUAGAAAUCAAGCCAGUACACGGCCAAUAUUCGUAACUUCAAACAAAAAAAUAAUACAUACAUACAAAUAGGAUUAAUAGAUUCAGUAGAUCAUAACCUUUACAUAGAUAUGUUACGUGGCAUAUGUAGCAUAGAACAUAUUCCAGUUGUCAUAUAUAUAUUCAUAAGCAUAUUUCCAUAAAACCUUAUGGGGGGCACCGUCACAGGGGAGAAGGGCUGAACCUAGGCUAGAGAGUUUUCUAGCCUGUGAAAGGAAUACCUGGAGUUUUAAGCUGCAAGCAGGUGUAGCUUGCCCUCAAGAAUCUCUGCAAUCUGCCUAAAACAAUAUUUAGGGUGAGAAUUUUCUACUU